rnacentral:lncRNA from 1 species
AUUUCUAAGACUCUUAUAAAAAAUUAGAUUGAUCAAUAUAAAUUAAUAUUCAUUUAUAUUGUUUUAUAAUGUUAAUAAAAGAGUGUGAACAUAUAGAAAGUAAAGCCCAUUUAUUUUUUAAAAAAUGAUUUUAAUCUAUUUUAAUUUAUAAUUCGUCAACAUAAUUUUUUUUAAUGUUGUUAAAUUUCUUAUAAAAUUUAUAAUAGAUGAUUUUACUUAUCAAAAUAAAACCUUAAAUACUAGAACUGGCCAUUUCAACCUUUUAAAAACUAGAGUGCCUAGAAUUUGAGGUCCUUUGUUUUUCCAUUAUUUUUUUUUUCGUCGUAUAGUGUAUAACCAUAGACUUUUAUUGCUUAUAAUAUUUUGUUUGCAUCGAAACGGCUAAUUUGGAAUCUGACUUUGGAGAUCUCCUGAAAGCAAGUGGGUUUGGUUUGGUGUAUGGAAGUACUUUUCGUGACUCAGUCAGGUACUAGAGGUAUUUUGUCUGUUGCGAAUUGCUGAAAGGUAAUCCCAUAUAACUAAUUAGUUCAUUAUUCGCGCUCAUAAAUAUUACAAAAAAAAUUAUUUUUUAUAUGUAUACGAUAGAGUUUUAUAAUCUAAAAAUAAAUAAAAUAUAAAAAUCAGAUAAAAAGAUAUAUUACAUACAAUACAAAGAGAUACAUUGCUAUAAAAUGGAGAAUAAAAUUAGAAACUACAACGAUUUAAAACAAAAUGGUAGCUUGGGAGAAAUGAGGAGGAAAGAAAGAGGUGAUUUUAAUUAUUUUUUGGGGGGGCUAACUAAAAUAAUAUUAAGGAUAAAGUAUGCCUAAUUUUAAAAAUUGUUUUGGUCAUUGAAUCCUAACUUAUGUGGAACUCACAUCUUUGAAAAUAAAGGAAGGACAGUUGGGGAAAAAAAAAAAAAAAUUAAUCUCAGGUGAAAUCUUAUCGUUGGAAUACUCAAAUAGAUUUUAAUGUAGAAUAGGAGAGAUAGUUUUCUUUUGAAUUCAAAAUGAAUUAGAUUUAUAAUAUAGAUUUUUCAGUCCAUUAUGACAUGUGGUUUAUUUUUUGUUUAAUUAUUUGUUUUUGUCAAAAUUUGUAUUUCUAAUAUAGUAAUCCAAAAUGAUUGGUAAUUUGAUUUCAUUUUGGAAUAAUUGGUACCUGAUUCUCUGAAGUCCAAGCAUUGGGCUCCGUGUAAGCCAUUCUUUUUCAAACCGCUCAUCGAGAACUAUAAUAAUAUAAAAAUUAUUUUGAUCAGAUAUUAUAUAAAUGAUUCGAUAAUAUCAUUUAUAUCAAAAUCAAAAAAUAAUAUUGGGUGUUAUAUUCAGUUAUAAGUUAUAAAAAAAUACUGAAUAUUAAGUUGUAUUCGAUCAACAUAAUUUUUUAUCGUACUAAUCUUUUACAAAAAAAUGUAUAAUAUGAACAAUUUAAAUUAUCAUAUUAAUCCAAAAAUGAGAUUAAAAUACACAGUAUGCUUAGGCAACUUCAAAAAAGCCAGAUAAGCCUGCUCCAUGUCAAAAAAGCCAGAUAAGUUGUGUGGUUGUUGAGAUUGCGUCAUAACACUAUUUUUUUAUCUAUCAAAUCGAUCAUCAACUAGAUUAAAAUAUAAUUUAAUUAUAAAUUAUUAUAAAAUUAGUUUUUGAUUCAUAACAUCGCCGCAAAAAUUCAUAAAAUAUUUAUAAUUGUAUCUAUAAGAAUUUAUAAACGAACCGUAAAAAUUCAUAAAAUUUAUCAAACAUACCAAUAAAAUUCAAAGAAAAAUAUCUUAUAACAAUGACCACAAAUAUUCAUAAUAAAAAUAAUAUAAUUCAUAACCAAAUUAUUAAAAUUCAUAAACGGAGCUAGAUCUCAAUUUAAUUGGUGGUUUUUAGACAAUUAAUGAUUUAAAGUGAUUAAUUUAUUAGUAAAGUCAUACUAAUUCAUAACAAUAGUUAUAACCAUUCUUCAAUCAAACCAAAACAAUUCUUAACUAAGAUAAUAAAAAAUUCAUUAAAAUUAAAUUUUAAUUAAUGGGUUCAGGAAAUUAAUAUUUAAAGGAUCAAUUUAAUUAAUUAUUGAAAGGUCAUAUUAAUCAUUAACAAUGGUCAUAAUCAUUCAUAUUCAACCAAAAAUAAUCAUAAACUAAGUCAAUAAAAUUCAUUAAAAAGAAAUUUAAUUGGUGGGCCCUCCAUGACAAUUAAUGCUUUUUUGAAAUGAACUAAUUCAUUGUUUUUUAAAGUUCAUAUCAAUUCAUAACGUAGCAGAUCCAUUUACAACUAAACUAAUAAAAAUUCAUAAAAAAAAUUUAUAACACUAAUUCAUUAAUAAUAGACAUAAUAUCAUAAAGGAAUCUAAAAAUAAUUCAUAACUAAAUAACACUAUAUCCAUAUUGUUAUCAUAAGAAUAAAUUAAAAAGAUCAUACAAAAUUCACAAAUAUACCAAUAGAAUUCAUACUAAAUUCAUUCAUAACAAAAUAUCUCAUAACAGUAGUUAUAAAAAUUCAUAACAAAACUAAUACGGUCCAUAAUCAAACUAAUACGAUUC